rnacentral:rRNA from 1 species
UACGUAGGGGGCUAGCGUUGUCCGGAAUCAUUGGGCGUAAAGCGCGCGUAGGCGGCCCGGUAAGUCCGUUGUAAAAGUCAAAGGCUCAACCUUUGAAAGCCGAUGGAUACUGUGAAGCUAGAGUACGGAAGAGGCGAGUGGAAUUCCUGGUGUAGCGGUGGAAUGCGCAGAUAUCAGGAGGAACACCAAUAGCGAAGGCAGCUCGCUGGGACGUUUACUGACACUGAGGCGCGAAAGCGUGGGGAGCGAACAGG